CAUUUAAGAAGUAAAAUGAAGGUUACCAUUCCAUUCUUCUCCAGCCGUCCACGAGCCGGGCAUAUCAAACUUUUUUCGCUCCAACCACUUGAUGGAAACGCACCUAAUUGGAAUUCCUUUUUUGCGAACUUUCGAAAGAUUCGCAUCACCUUUUAGAUGGAAACAUGACUAGUGAGUGACAUCACCACCUUAAGGGAUCUGAGGACAGCAACAGCAAGACAUUGACAACGAACUGAUAACAAAUAAGCAGAAGUGUAGAGUGGAUCUGACCUUAGACCAGCACAGAGUCUAGAACUUUAUUGCUGCCGCUGCGUGGGUUCUGUGGUACGGAAGCCGUAAUGGGACAUGGGAAAAAUAUAUAUAACCGCAAGCGGUAAUUAACGGGGUCCGAGCAAAAAAUAAAAGUCAAGAACACACUAAUGGAAGAUAUUUAAAUAUAACAGAUAAUUGUCACAUUUAAGAAAAAAAAUUCCACUUAUAAACCUGAACUGCAGCCUCAUUCACAUGGUCAAAAUGUCAAAGCACACAACAUCCAGAAAACUCAAAGCACACAUUUCUCAAGUGAAUUAAGGGCUUUCUUACUUGAAAAAUAUUUGAAAUUCUGGGGAAAUUAAACAUUUGUAGUCAAGAACACUAACGGAAGAAAUAUAUAUGACAGAGUUAA